rnacentral:rRNA from 1 species
GAGUUGCGAACGGGUGAGUAACGCGUAGGUAACCUGCCUGGUAGCGGGGGAUAACUAUUGGAAACGAUAGCUAAUACCGCAUAACAGUAGAUGUUGCAUGACAACUAUUUGAAAGGGGCAAUUGCUCCACUACCAGAUGGACCUGCGUUGUAUUAGCUAGUUGGUGAGGUAACGGCUCACCAAGGCGACGAUACAUAGCCGACCUGAGAGGGUGAUCGGCCACACUGGGACUGAGACACGGCCCAGACUCC